CCCAGACAGCCAGGAUGUUGGCUUAGAAGCAGCCAUCAUUUAAAGAAAGCGUAAUAGCUCACUGGUCGAGUCGGCCUGCGCGGAAGAUGUAACGGGGCUAAACUAUGCACCGAAGCUGCGGCAGCGACACUGUGUGUUGUUGGGUAGGGGAGCGUUCUGUAAGCCUGUGAAGGUGUGUCGUGAGGCAUGCUGGAGGUAUCAGAAGUGCGAAUGCUGACAUAAGUAACGAUAAAGCGGGUGAAAAGCCCGCUCGCCGGAAGACCAA
rnacentral:rRNA from 2 species